AAUAAGGCGGUGCUUGAUAAUGAGAUAGAGGAGGAGAGAAGACUUAUGUAUGUUGCCAUGACAAGGGCAAAAGAAAAGCUGUAUCUUGUAUAUCCCAUAAA
rfam:Eubacterium sp. CAG:252 genomic scaffold, scf176